rnacentral:rRNA from 1 species
GACGAACGCUGGCGGCGUGCUUAACACAUGCAAGUCGAACGGAAAGGCCUGCUUUCCCUUGUGGAUUGCGGGUACUCGCGUGGCGAACGGGUGAGUAACACGUGAGUGAUCUGCCCCCAACUUGGGUAUAAGCCUGGGAAACUGGGUCUAAUUCCCGAUAGGACUGCAGGGUGGUGCCUGUGGUGGAAAACGAUUUUCUAGUGGUUGGGGAUGAGCUCGCGGCCUAUCAGCUUGUUGGUGGGGUAAUGGCCUACCAAGGCGGCGACGGGUAGCCGGCCUGAGAGGGUGGACGGCCACAGUGGGACUGAGAUACGGCCCAGACUCCUACGGGAGGCAGCAGUGGGGAAUAGUGCACAAUGGGCGGAAGCCUGAUGCAGCGACGCCGCGUGGGGGAUGACGGCCUUCGGGUUGUAAACUCCUUUCGACCGCGAGGAAGCCACCUGGUUGGAAGGGUGGUGACGGUAGUGGUAGAAGAAGCACCGGCUAACUACGUG